rnacentral:lncRNA from 1 species
GCUCCCUCUGCUCCCUCGGCCCAAUCACGGAGGCAGAGGGGAGAUAAGAGCAGGGUUUGAGGUUUGGCUGCUUUGCCCUUUUCUCCUCGUGUCCUUCCAGGAGGGAUUGGGAUGAGCCGAGCAGUGCAGCCACUCUUUGGGGAGCGGAGUGGGUGCAUCGGAUGGUGCCUUUGGUUGCAACGCAGCCCCCGUUAACUUCCUGAGGUGGGUUUCACAUGAGCAGCAUCAUAACCAUCAGCUCUACAAGCAGGACGUAGGAAGGCCAAAUGUGCGUAAUUACCACUCAGAUGCUAAUUACCUGCACUGGGCCCAAACCCAAUGCACCAAACGCCGCUCACAGGAGUGCUCUCAGGACCCCACAGCUGAG